rnacentral:sRNA from 1 species
CCUACAGCGUCCUGUCCACCAUGCCCUCAGACUCAGAAAGCAGCAGCUCCCUCAGCAGUGUGGGUGAGUACCACCGUCUGGGGAGGACACCGGGGAACAGAUGGAAUCCCAGUUGGAAAAGGAGGCCCGGUUCCGACAGCUGAUGGCCCACAGCUCCCACGACUCGGCCAUUGACACGGAUUCCAUGGAGUGGGAAACGGAAGUUGUAGAGUUCGAGAGGGAGACGGAGGAUAUUGACUUGAAGGCACUGGGGUUUGAUAUGGCAGAAGGUGUGAAUGAGCCUUGUUUCCCGGGGGACUGUGGCAUAUUUGUCACUAAAGUGGACAAAGGAAGCAUUGCUGAUGGCCGCUUAAGGGUCAAUGACUGGCUGCUGAGAAUCAACGAUGUGGACCUCAUCAACAAGGACAAGAAGCAGGCCAUCAAGGCGCUCCUCAAUGGGGAGGGGGCCAUCAACAUGGUCGUGCGGCGGAGGAAGUCCCUGGGUGGGAAGGUGGUCACGCCGCUGCACAUCAACCUCAGUGGACAGAAAGACAGUGGCAUCAGUCUGGAGAAUGGAGUGUACGCUGCCGCUGUGCUGCCUGGAAGCCCUGCCGCUAAAGAAGGGUCCCUUGCUGUGGGAGACAGGAUCGUUGCGAUCAAUGGCAUUGCACUGGACAACAAGUCUCUGAAUGAAUGUGAAUCUCUGCUGCGGAGCUGCCAGGACUCCCUGACCCUGUCCCUCCUGAAGGUAUUCCCUCAGAGCUCCUCGUGGAGUGGCCAGAACAUUUUUGAAAAUAUCAAAGACUCUGAUAAGAUGCUGAGUUUUCGAGCCCAUGGCCCGGAGGUCCAGGCUCAUAACAAACGGAACUUGAUACAGCACAAUAACUCCACGCAGACAGACAUCUUCUACACGGACAGGCUGGAAGACAGGAAGGAGCCAGGCCCCCCAGGAGGCAGCAGCUCCUUUCUGCAUAAGCCAUUCCCUGGGGGACCCUUGCAGGUCUGCCCCCAGGCCUGUCCCAGUGCCUCUGAGCGUAGCCUGAGCUCCUUCCGCUCAGAUGCCUCUGGGGACCGUGGCUUUGGGCUGGUGGACGUGCGUGGCCGGCGGCCACUGCUGCCCUUUGAGACUGAGGUGGGCCCCUGUGGGGUUGGGGAGGCCUCCCUGGACAAGGCAGACUCUGAAGGCUCCAACAGCGGCGGGACCUGGCCCAAGGCCAUGCUCAGCUCCACGGCAGUGCCUGAGAAGCUCUCUGUUUAUAAAAAGCCAAAGCAAAGAAAGUCCAUCUUUGACCCUAACACUUUCAAACGCCCCCAGACACCCCCCAAAAUAGACUACCUGCUUCCAGGUCCUGGGCCUGCUCACUCUCCCCAGCCCUCCAAGAGGGCGGGGCCUCUGACACCCCCAAAACCUCCCAGAAGGAGCGACUCCAUUAAGUUCCAGCACAGGCUGGAGACUAGCUCCGAGUCAGAAGCCACUCUGGUGGGCAGCUCCCCAUCCACUAGUCCCCCGAGCGCCCUGCCCCCUGACGUGGACCCCGGGGAGCCCAUGCACGCAUCACCCCCUCGCAAGGCCAGGGUCCGCAUUGCUUCCAGCUACUACCCUGAAGGAGAUGGGGACUCCUCCCACCUGCCGGCCAAGAAAUCCUGUGAUGAGGACCUCACCUCCCAGAAGGUGGAUGAGCUGGGGCAGAAGCGUCGCCGGCCAAAAUCUGCUCCCAGUUUUCGGCCGAAGCUUGCUCCAGUAGUGAUUCCUGCUCAGUUCCUGGAGGUAUAGCUGAGCCCCAGGGUGUGGGGAGGGGAGGCCUAGAGAGGGGCAGUUGGCCAAAGGAGGGCUGCUAAGUGGCCCUGCACCAGUGUCCCAGGCUCCUGUUUAGCCUGGUGCCUUUGCCUUUGCUGUUGGACUCAAGUGGGAAGUGGCCCAGCUAGGAGGUAGGUAAGUGGCGUGGAAGUGCAUGGUAGUGGGAGUGUGACACAAGAGGGGAACACUUUAUUAGGCAUAGCAUUUGGUUUGCUUUUUUAAUAAGAAGCUUUUGAACUUACACAAUAAAACCUAGGGCAUAGACUUGCCUUGAAGGGCUAGGGAGAUGAGGUGGCACGUGUGAGGCUGAGUGGGCAGCGGGACGGCCUGAUUGCGUGUGCUGUCAUAGUUUCUGGAAGGGUGAGAUUGCUGGGGACUGUGGAAAGCAUCUCAGGCACCAGUCCACACUGCUCACUGGGGACAAAGAGCUUCGCACAGCCCUGCACGUCGGGCAGAGUUGUACGUGCCUGAUGCACUUGUGCAUUCUCACCUUUUACGUGAUCUCUAUGUGAAAGAUUCAUUCUCUGUGGUUUUCUUCUGAAGUAAAGCUGCUUCCUUGCAGAUGUGUAAGGCAACAUGAAUGGGCAGUGUUCCCAUUCAUGUCCCUUCCUGUGCCCCAGUGGGAGGAGCUGCUUCCUGGGGGGCAGAAACUGGCUUGCAGAGCUGCUCAAGCGUUCCACUGUUUGGUUUUUUUUUUUUUUUUCCCCCUAAGGUGGAGUCUCACUCUGUCACCCAGGCUGGAGUACAGUGGUGCAGUCUUGGCUCACUGCAACUUCUGCCUCCCGAGUUCAAGCGAUUCUCCUGCCUCAGCCUCCCAAGUAGCUGGGAUUACAGGCACCCACUACCAUGCCCAGCUAAUUUUUGUAUUUUUGGUAGAGACGGGAUUUCGCCAUGUUGGCCAGGGUGGUCUUGAACUCCUGACCUUAGGUGAUCUGCCCGCCUCGGCCUCCCAGAGUGCUGGGAUUAUAGGUGUGAGCCACUGCGCCUGGCCACACUCCACUCUUUCUAGCAGACACUCUUGCCCUUACAUCUGCAGGAACAGAAGUGUGUCCCGGCCAGUGGAGAACUCUCCCCAGAGCUCCAGGAGUGGGCACCUUACUCGCCUGGGCAUUCCAGCCGGCACAGCAACCCCCCGCUAUACCCUAGCAGGCCGUCUGUGGGUGAGUCAGCCAGCCAGGGGCUGGGGCUGAGGGUCGGUGUAAACUCGGGAUGCCUAGUCUCCAGGGAGAGGGGAGGCAGCAUUUCAGAGAGCUGCCAUGUGUUUUCAGCCCUGAGGUCCAGAGAACUGGGAAAUGCUGCCCUGUCUGGGAUGCUUUGUCUUAUAGCCAUGACAUGUCUUAGCUUGUCAAAAUGCUUUCUCCCCAUAGCAACCUGGGAAAUAGGAAGCAUGAAAGAGACUUCCCCCCUUUUUACAAAUGGAGACAGGCCAGGAGCCACAGCCACAUUGUGAAUUGGUGGUUAAAACUCAUCUCCCAAGUCCUUUUCCCAAAAGACUGCGGCUGCGUCCUGGGAUACAGGGGAAAGGCUUGUGUAAGUCCUGGGCUGGCUGGGUCCUUUGGGGCGUCUUUUCUCACCAAGCCCAUUUCUAGGCACUGUUCCCCGGAGUUUGACCCCCAGCACCACUGUGAGCUCCAUCCUGCGGAACCCCAUCUACACUGUGCGCAGUCACAGGGUCGGCCCCUGCAGCUCUCCACCUGCGGCCCGAGAUGCUGGCCCCCAGGGUUUGCAUCCCAGUGUCCAGCACCAGGGACGCCUGAGCCUGGACCUGAGCCACAGGACCUGCAGCGACUACUCCGAGAUGAGAGCCACCCAUGGGUCCAACUCACUGCCCUCCAGCGCCCGCCUGGGUUCUUCGAGUAACUUGCAGUUCAAGGCGGAACGCAUUAAAAUCCCAUCAACACCAAGAUAUCCGCGGAGUGUCGUGGGCUCCGAGAGAGGUUCAGUGUCACAUUCUGAAUGCAGCACUCCUCCACAGUCACCCCUGAACAUCGACACCCUGUCCUCUUGUAGCCAGUCCCAGACCUCAGCCUCCACAUUGCCCAGAAUCGCUGUCAACCCCGCGUCCCUCGGGGAGCGGAGAAAGGACAGGCCUUAUGUGGAGGAGCCACGCCACGUGAAGGUGCAGAAGGGCUCAGAGCCGCUGGGCAUCUCCAUCGUGAGUGGAGAGAAGGGCGGCAUCUACGUCUCCAAGGUGACCGUGGGGAGCAUCGCUCACCAGGCUGGCCUCGAGUAUGGGGAUCAGUUACUGGAGUUCAACGGCAUAAACCUGCGGAGCGCCACGGAGCAGCAGGCGCGGCUCAUCAUCGGGCAGCAGUGUGAUACCAUCACCAUCCUGGCCCAGUACAACCCCCACGUGCACCAGCUCAGCAGCCACUCCCGGUCCAGCUCACACCUGGACCCUGCCGGUACCCACUCCACUCUCCAGGGCAGUGGCACCACCACCCCGGAGCAUCCAUCUGUCAUCGACCCACUGAUGGAGCAGGACGAGGGGCCUAGCACCCCCCCAGCCAAGCAGAGCAGCUCCAGGAUUGCGGGAGAUGCCAACAAGAAGACCCUGGAGCCACGCGUUGUCUUCAUCAAAAAGUCCCAGCUGGAGCUUGGGGUGCACUUGUGUGGUGGGAACCUGCAUGGGGUGUUUGUGGCCGAGGUGGAGGAUGACAGUCCUGCCAGGGGUCCUGACGGCCUCGUGCCAGGGGACCUCAUCCUGGAGUAUGGCAGCCUGGACGUGCGGAACAAGACAGUGGAGGAAGUCUAUGUGGAGAUGCUGAAGCCCAGGGAUGGCGUCCGCCUGAAGGUGCAGUACCGCCCUGAGGAGUUCACGAAGGCCAAGGGCCUGCCUGGUGACAGCUUCUACAUCAGGGCCCUGUACGACCGGCUGGCAGAUGUGGAGCAUGAGUUGAGCUUUAAGAAGGACGACAUCCUCUACGUGGAUGACACCUUGCCCCAGGGCACGUUCGGGUCCUGGAUGGCUUGGCAGCUGGACGAGAAUGCCCAGAAGAUCCAGCGCGGGCAGAUUCCCAGCAAAUAUGUGAUGGACCAAGAAUUCUCCAGGAGGCUCAGCAUGUCUGAAGUCAAAGAUGACAAUAGCGCCACAAAGACGCUGUCAGCAGCUGCACGCCGGUCCUUUUUUCGGAGGAAACACAAGCACAAACGCAGCGGGUCCAAGGACGGGAAAGACCUGCUCGCCUUGGAUGCCUUUUCCAGUGACUCCAUUCCACUCUUUGAAGAUUCGGUGAGCCUGGCCUAUCAGCGGGUCCAGAAGGUGGACUGCACCGCUCUGAGGCCUGUCCUGAUUCUGGGGCCUUUGCUGGACGUGGUGAAGGAGAUGCUGGUGAAUGAGGCUCCUGGCAAGUUCUGCAGAUGUCCCCUUGAGGUGAUGAAGGCCUCCCAGCAGGCCAUUGAGCGGGGUGUCAAAGAUUGCCUGUUUGUCGACUAUAAGCGGAGAAGCGGCCAUUUCGAUGUGACCACUGUGGCGUCAAUAAAGGAGAUCACAGAAAAGAACCGACACUGCCUCCUGGACAUUGCUCCGCACGCUAUUGAGCGGCUCCACCACAUGCACAUCUACCCCAUUGUCAUCUUCAUCCACUACAAGAGCGCCAAGCACAUCAAGGAGCAGAGAGACCCCAUCUACCUGAGGGACAAGGUGACUCAGAGGCAUUCCAAAGAGCAGUUUGAGGCGGCGCAGAAGCUUGAGCAGGAGUACAGCAGGUACUUCACAGGGGUCAUCCAGGGAGGAGCCCUGUCAAGCAUUUGCACUCAGAUCUUGGCAAUGGUCAAUCAAGAACAAAAUAAAGUCCUGUGGAUUCCAGCCUGCCCGCUCUAGGAGAAUGCUGUGCUGUGGAUGACUGCAGCUGGCCGCCUGAGGGGACGCCAGGCUCAGCUCUUUUCUAGCGACUGAAAGUAGAAGUCUGUCCGUCUAUGAACAUGCAGGGGAAGGAUCCGGAGCCAGGACCCAGAAGCACCUCCUUUGUAGACAGAGGGCCACGGCUGCAUGCGAUCCAGGCCCAGGCCCACACACUCUGCCCGUGUCACACGUGUGCUUUAACACAAAACAGAUAACACUAAAGACGGGUUCAGCACCCACCUUUCUUUAGCCAGCUGAUCAGAGAUGCUGCAAAGAGAACCUUUCGGAUCACUCGUUUACAAGCCUUUUCUAAGUAUUUGGUGGUUUAUGUUUACUUGAACGGCUCCAUGUUGCCGGUGCCCAGCCCCUGUCCCCUCUGUCAACCCCCUGUCGCUUUGGUGUUGGUUUCGUUCCCGUCUUCAGCAAAACGACCUUGGAACCUCAAUGGGGGCUGCUUUGCUUUGGGAGGUUCUUGUUGGUGGGACCAGAGCUUUGACAAACCUCCUGCUCCUUGGUGGCACCUCUCCUGGAAGGACGUCACAACUCCAGGUGCUCAGACUGCCUGUGGCAGCAGAACCAGUGCCUUUGGCAUUUUCCUCCCACACUGGGGAAGGUGACUUUGGCAUUCUUACAAACUCGUCUCUCGGCCUUUCUCUCCUGCCUUCCACAGCCUCUCGUUUCUCCUCCAUCUGUGCUUAUUACUUGAGCACUGUGUCUGCUCCGUGAGAGCUGCGUGGGCAGGGCUGCAGUGGGGUCCAGGUGGUGUUCAGCUGUGCUGAUGCCUGCCAUUGGGUCCUCCUUAGGCUCUGUAAGUCGUGACAGCCUUCAUCAGUGCAAUGUUUGCAGGGUAAUUCUUAAACUUUUUAGAGGGUGGCAGGUACAUCAGUUCUUUUUGAUAUGAAAACAUUCAUGUUUCAGACAUUGAAUUGAGAGCUUUUAGGGGAAGCAUAAUGGUUAUUGUCACUAUCAACAGUCUAAAAAGAAAAACUGAGGUCUUUUUAAUCUUGAUUACAGCACUCACGGCAUGCACCCUACUCAAUGUGGGUGUCUUCGUUUGGGGGCUUUUUUUUUUUUUUUUUUUUUGCACUUCUGAGGCUAGAUAUGUCUGGCUGAAGAUUUGAUGUGGUUCCUCCUUAAGCUGUGCGUCCUGUUAAUAAUAGGUACUGUACUGGGCUCUGUGUAAGUGUCGUUGGGGUAGGACCUAUAUUUUAAUACUGUUCCUAACAUUUCAUUUUACUAGUGAGAAAUCUUUGAUUUCAUUUUAUUCUUUGUAAUUCUAGACACUAGAUUGUAGUUUAGCCAUAACUGAUGUUUUUUAAAAAGGGAUAUAUUUUCUUGCACAGUUGUUCAAAAAAGAGACAAGUUUCAGUCCUCAAUGCUGUCCUUUGUUUUACAGGUACAAGUUUUCUAGCUCAGACAAACUAUGAAAAACUGUAGACUAUUCUCAAGGUAUUAACUCGCAGACCCUCUGGGGGUAGGGGCUGUUUUCUAAGUUACAGGCAGAGUGGGACUGAGAUGGUACAGUGUGCACAGACAGGUACUGAGCUGACAGACUGGGAUUUUCUGUACUAAAAUGUUACUUUGUAUCAAAAGUUAAACAGGCUUUAGUACAACAAAUAAAGGUCAAUUUCUGUAA